rnacentral:snRNA from 1 species
UUAAGUACCUGGCUCAGGGUGAUCAAGAAUGCUCUGACCCCAGGUGGAGGCUCACCAUUGCACUUCGGUGGGUUGAAACUCACGAUGGACCCAAAUCGGGUGCGCUCGGGCGUGUAGUUUUUCAGUGGGGAGGCCUCACGGUCUUCCCUU